CAGUAGCCGCGGUAAUACGGAGGGUGCAAGCGUUAAUCGGAAUUACUGGGCGUAAAGCGUGCGUAGGCGGUUCGUUAAGUCUGUUGUGAAAGCCCCGGGCUCAACCUGGGAAUGGCAAUGGAUACUGGCGAGCUAGAGCGUGUCAGAGGAUGGUGGAAUUCCCGGUGUAGCGGUGAAAUGCGUAGAGAUCGGGAGGAACAUCAGUGGCGAAGGCGGCCAUCUGGGACAACACUGACGCUGAGGCACGAAAGCGUGGGGAGCAAACAGGAUUAGAUACCCGUGUAGUCCCUGUCUCUUAUAC
rnacentral:rRNA from 1 species